rnacentral:rRNA from 1 species
UGGGGAAUUUUGGGCAAUGGGCGAAAGCCUGACCCAGCAACGCCGCGUGAGGGAGGAAAUCCUUCGGGAUGUAAACCUCGCAAGCAAGGGAAGACAGCUAGAGAUUUAAUAAAUUUCUAGUCCGACGGUACCUUGCGUAAGCCACGGCUAACUACGUGCCAGCAGCCGCGGUAAUACGUAGGUGGCAAGCGUUGUUCGGAAUUAUUGGGCGUAAAGGGCGCGUAGGCGGUUUGGUAAGACAGAUGUGAAAUCCCCGGGCUUAACCUGGGAACUGCAUUUGUGACUGCCAGACUAGAGUGUAGCAGAGGGGGGUAGAAUUCCACGUGUAGCAGUGAAAUGCGUAGAUAUGUGGAGGAAUACCGAUGGCGAAGGCAGCCCCCUGGGCUAACACUGACGCUCAUGCACGAAAGCGUGGGGAGCAAACAGGAUUAGAUACCCAAGUAGUCCCUGAGCGGGCUGGCAAGGCGCAU